CAGUCGCCACGGGAAUACGAGGGGGGCAAGCGUUGUUCGGAUUUAUUGGGCGUAGAGGGUGCGUAGGCGGUUUGGCAAGUCUCGUGUGAAAUCUAUGGGCUCAACCCAUAGCCUGCACGAGAAACUACCGGGCUUGAGUAUUGGAGAGGUGAGUGGAACUUCCGGUGGAGCGGUGAAAUGCGUUGAGAUCGGAAGGAACGCCCGUGGCGAAAGCGAGGUCCUGGACGUCUGCUGACGCUGAGACGCGAAAGCCAGGGGAGCGAACGGGAUUAGAGACCCCCGUAGUCCCUGUCUCUUAUAC
rnacentral:rRNA from 1 species